ensembl:rRNA 5S_rRNA 5S ribosomal RNA
GCUUACGGCCAUACCAGCCUGAAUACGCCCGAUCUCGUCCGAUCUCGGAAGCUAAGCAGGGUCGGGCCUGGUUAGUACUUGGAUGGGAGACCGCCUGGGAAUACCAGGUGCUGUAAGCU